rnacentral:rRNA from 1 species
ACUGAAUUCUCUUCGGAGAUAGUAAGGUGGCGGACGGGUGAGUAACACGUAAAGACUUGCCCUGCAGUCUGGGACAACUAUUGGAAACGAUAGCUAAUACCGGAUAUUGCCGCAUGGCGAAAGCUAUAUGCGCUGUAGGAGAGCUUUGCGUCCCAUUAGUUAGUUGGUGAGGUAACGGCUCACCAAGACCGCGAUGGGUAGCCGGCCUGAGAGGGUGAACGGCCACAAGGGGACUGAGACACGGCCCUUACUCCUACGGGAGGCAGCAGUGGGGAAUAUUGGACAAUGGACCAAAGUCUGAUCCAGCAAUUCUGUGUGCACGAUGACGGUCUUAGGAUUGUAAAGUGCUUUCAAUCGGGAAAAAGAAAGUGAUGGUACCGAUAGAAGAAGCGACGGCUAAAUACGUGCCAGCAGCCGCGGUAAUACGUAUGUCGCAAGCGUUAUCCGGAUUUAUUGGGCGUAAAGCGCGUCUAGGCGGUCUGGUAAGUCUGAUGUGGAAAUGCGGGGCUCAACUCCGUAUUGCGUUGGAAACUGCCAGACUAGAGUACUGGAGAGGUGGGCGGAACUACAAGUGUAGAGGUGAAAUUCGUAGAUAUUUGUAGGAAUGCCGAUAGAGAAGUCAGCUCACUGGACAGAUACUGACGCUGAAGCGCGAAGGCAUGGGGAGCAAACAGGAUUAGAUACCCUGGUAGUCCAUGCCGUAAACGAUGAUUACUAAGCGUCGGGGGUCGAACCUCGGCACUCAAGCUAACGCGAUAAGUAAUCCGCCUGGGGAGUA